rnacentral:piRNA from 1 species
UUAAUUGUGGUGUCAGCUUCCUU